AGGGCUUGGGGGAAACGCAGGUUGUCGGGGAAGGCCUGGCGUCCAGCCGGGCCAGCGAGAGGAAAGCGAGGCCCGACCGCGUCGACUUCCGAGAAGGCAGGUCGCUCCAGGAAGGGACGCUGGACGGUUUUCGUCUUUGUGUGAUUUGUGUGGGAAGCCCUCUCGGCGCGGCGGGUCUGGAGCGGCGGCGGCGGCGCGCGGGCGGCUCUGGGGGCGGUUUGGAGCGGGACCGACGGCGGACUCGGACAGGGACUGGCGUCUGGGCGGUGACAUCUAGGCCCUGACCGUGCCCAGUUGUCCGGAUCGCUCAGGUGUCCGGGUGGCAACGCCGGCUCCCGUGGGGUGGGCACCUCCUACGCCCUGGAACUUGGUGCUUGCGGUCCGGAAGUUCUCCGGAUGCUGUACAGUGGGGAUUACUCCGGUUUGGCAGAGGAGGCUACUGUCCCUCUGGAAGAUGUGACUCGGCUUCGUUCCAGAAAGAUAGGUACUCCAUAUUGACAAGUGCCUUGAGCAUUGUUUUGGGCUCGUUUUCUCCCUAUUGAGCUAAGCUUUCCUCGCAUAGCCCAAACGUCGUAAUAAUGGUGAAUAAUGAAUAAAAGUAAUAAGCCAUGACUGUCAUUUACUGUGCACGAGACCUGAGGCAGAUACUCAUGAUUAUCCGCAGAAACAGCCUUGAGAAUGACGGAAUCAUUUGUCCAAUGUCAUUUAGGCUGUAAGUGGUGGAGCCAGGAUUCAUUCCCCACCAGGCUGCCAAAGCAAUUCGUAUCAAAUUCUGCCGUAUUGCACUUCCCGUAUUGCAUCAUAAUUUCGGGUUAAAAACUGGCUUUCAUGUCCAAAUCGAAGGUAAGAAUUGGGACCCGUUAGUCUCUGUCCUUAUUGCUUAGCACAAGGCCUGGGGCGCUGUAAAUACUCCAGUUGAGUGUCUUUUUUUUUUUUUUUUUUUAAGAUUUUAUUUAUUUAUUUGAGAGAGAGAAUGAGAGAGAGAGAGCAUGAGAGGGGGAGAGUCAGAGGGAGAAGCAGACUCCCUGCUGAGCAGGGAGCCCGAUGCGGGACUCGAUCCCGGGACUCCAGGAUCAUGACCUGAGCCGAAGGCAGUCGCUUAACCAACUGAGCCACCCAGGCGCCCUAUUUUAUUUAUUUUUUUAACGUAGGCUCCACACCCAGUGUGGAGCCCAGUGCGGGGCUUGAACUCAUGACCCUGAGAUCAAGACCUGAGCUGAGAACAAGAGUCAGACGUCUUGGGCUCCUGGGUGGCUCAGUCAGUUAAAGCCUCUGCCUUUGGCUCAGAUGGUGAUCCUGAGGUCCUGGGAUCGAGCAGGGAGUCUGUUUCUCCCUCUCCCUCUGCCCCUCCCCCCUGCUUGUGCGCUCUCUCUCCAAUAGAUAAAUAAAAUCUUUAAAAAAAAUAAGAGAUGCUUAACCAACUGAGCCACCCAGGCGCCCCUCCAGUUGAGUGUCUUUAAUGAACAGUGAGGAUCCAUGUUUCCAGAACAGUUUGGGUCCGCUGUGAGGAACUGGGUUGCUUUCACCAGAGGACGUUUCAGAACCCCAUUGGCUCUUUUCCUUCCAUCACCAGUUAAAUUCUCUAUGUAUUUUAGGUUGAAGACCUCGUCUUCCAGGCGAUUGAUUGGUCACUCAUUCAGGUAAACAUGGGCUCCAAAAUCUAUAUCGCAAGUGAUCGUGUUCCGUUUUUUUUAUCCUUACCUUUCAGUUUUCUUUCCCCAGUUACGGGUAUUUACUGGGGAAGACGGUAUUGCUGUUAUAUUCAUUUUUCUUGUGUAAGGACUGUGCGUCAUCUUCCCAACCUGAGUGGUCAGCUCCUUGAGAACGAGGUGCCUGCCGCCUAAUGCCUGGUUCCUUCCCUUGCACACUUUAGACGCGGGGUUCGUGUCUGCCAAGUGCUCAUCCCAGUUCUGCAGCCAGGCUAGUGAGCGCGAAGCAGUGGGCACAAUUUACAAUUGUCUUCUGUGAACUGGACGGGAACACUUGAUUUCUCAUUCUGUUUAACUUACUGCCAGUUGAGCAGGAACCACAAAUGACUCAAAUUCUGAAGCAGUUUGUUCUCCUGGUGGUAGUUCCUAAAGUCUCCAGGUUCAGAAGUUACUCAGUGGUUUUCUUUUCCCCUUUUGUAUGAUUUGGGGGCGGGGGGAUGCUUGAAGUUGACUCUCCUUCCCUUUUCCUUUGAACUAAAAGAGCUGUCUUGCAUGUUUCGAAAAUCACUGUUCACAGAUCCUUUAUUUCUCUGGAGGAGAAGAUGUAAAUUUUCUUGAAACAUAAACUCUUCUGGAAAUGUCUUUUUCUUGGUUUUCCCUUGGAAUGUUUUCCAUGUGGCAAUAUUAAUAUUUUCCUUAUAGUCGGCUAUCACAUACACACACCCCCUUCCACCACAUACACAGCUUAAAAACAAAAUAUUUUCAAUAAAUACAGAAAACAGUAUAUAAUUAUUAUUAUUAUUUUUUAAGAUUUUAUUUAUUUAUUUUUUAGAGAGCGAGCGAGAGAGAAACAGCAUGAGAGGGGAGAGGGUCAGAGGGAGAAGCAGGCUCCCCGCUGAGCCGGGAGCCCGAUGUGGGACUCGAUCCCAGGACCCUGGGAUCAUGACCUGAGCCGAAGGCAGACGCUUAACCAUCUGAGCCACCCAGGCACCCAGUAUGUAAUUCUUAACCCUUUUGUGGUUCUUUUCCCAAAAUCCCAUUCUACAGGAGGCUUGUUGGUGCACCCAGGACUCUGUGUUCACUGAUGCACUUGGAAUGCCAGGAGAAUCAGAGAAGGAGGUGACCUUUGGGGCAGAACUGCAUAACAGGGCUUGUCUGGUUUUUUUUUUUUUUUUUAAUAACAGGGCUUUUUUAUACUGUGCCUUCUGUGCCUUGUUUGAGUUGGUCCCAGAGAGAGCUCAGAGCUUAAAAACUCCAGCCAUUCCUAUAGAGCCACACAACAGCCACAUUGGGGGACCCCCAGGUAUGUUGGGGAAACCACAGGAACAAGGAACAAACCAAAGGAAACGUCAAGGACAACCCAAAGUGAAUUCCUCCUCUUCUCUCCUAACAAAUCUGCGAAAUCCCAGGAAGUGGAAUCUGCACCUAGGCUAAGCCCCCUGACUCUCACCUCACGAGGGCAAUUAGUUAUACAAAAGAGGAAGGACAUGGAAAGGAGACAAAACAGAAAACAAAAUCCUUGGGAUGCCUGGGUGGCUCAGUCAUUAAGCAUCUGCCUUUGGCUCGGGUCAUGAUCCCGGGGUCAUGGGAUUGAGCCCCAUGUCGAGUUCCCUGCUCAGCUGGGAGCCUUUUUCUCCCUCUGUCUGCUGCUCCCCCUGCUUGUGCUCUCUCUCUCUCUCACUAUCAUAUAAAUCAAUCAAUCAAUCAAUCAAUCAAUCUUAAAAAUCCUUGGGGCACCUGGGUAGCUAACUCAGUUAAGCCUCUGACUCUUGAUUUCAGCUCAGGUCAUGAUCUCAGGGUCGUGAGAUUGAUGUCUGUGUCGGGCUCCGUGCUGACCAUCGAAUCUGCUUGAGAUUCCCUCUGCCCCUCUCCCUGCUCUCUCUCCCUCUCUUAAAAAAAAAAAAGUCUUUUACCAAAAGCCAGAGCAUUCCCAUCAAAUUAUCAGAUGGGACAGGGAACAAAUCUUGGUUAGAAUGACACCUUGACUUUGACCACUAGAGUGCAGCCCAUUUCUCAAGUCACAGUGCAGGUUGUGGAGUUGAAAAUGGGGUGGCCUCUGGAGACGAGGAGUACCAGAGACACCUGCUUUCCACCCACUGGUAGCCUCCACUGGCCCGGAAUAGCAAACCUACUUGCUGCUGUUUGCCCUGCUUACACUGAAGUUUUAAAAAUUCAUGUGUUGUUUUCCAGUGGGUUUCUUGAUGAAUUAUAGCUGUUUUUUUUUUUUUAAGUGGUGAUACUACCACUGAAAUAAUUGUUUGCUCUCAGACGCUGCCAUGUUCCAUCACCCUUAGAAUUUUUCUGACAUUCUCAUUAACAUUUUCAAUAUUAAAAGGCUUAUUAUGUAGUGAAAAAGCAUGUAUCCGAAAACAUACCUACAGUAUAAGGAUUUGUUAUUUGGGUAACAUUUGUCCUCAGGAAUUGCUGAUUACAUUUGCGGAAUUUGGAAUCUGGUAGAAAUCAUAGAGCCUGACUGUGGGUUUCCAUCUUUAACAAAUAUUGACUGAGUGCCUGCAACCACCGUGAUGGGCACGGGAUGCAUGGACAGGGCAAGCUUCCACCCUCAAGGAGCUUAAAUUGUAGGGAGGCAAACAGACACCAAGCAGCCAGUCAUAUAUUUAAUUAUAACCAUGGUUAAGUGUUAGAAUGAAUGCCUGUUAGGAUAGCAUUGAUAAGGUACCAUCCCACCUGAGAGGUCGGGAAGGGCUUUGCUGGGGAGGGAGCAUUUGACCUGAGAUCUGAACCUGAAUCUGAGAGCUGGGUGCCCGUUGGCUUUGCCUGGAAGGUGCCCCCCCCAAUGCCCUCCCUGUCUUCCAUUGCUCUCUCUCCCUCAAGAACCUGUUUAUUUCUGUAUUGUCCUUACUCACAACUAUCUGGAUUUAUUGCCUUGCUUAUUGUUUGUUUCCCCCCAGAAUAGCAGCUCUUUGAGAACAGGAGCUCCCUCGGGCACCUGGGUGGCUCAAUUGGUUAAGUGACUGCCUUCGGCUCAGGUCAUGAUCCCAGAGUCCCGGGAUCGAGUCCCACAUCGGGCUCCCUGCUCGGUGGGGAGUCUGCUUCUCCCUCUAACCCUACCCCCUCUUGCACGUGCUCUCUCACUCUCUCUCUCUCUCUCAAAUAAAUAAAUAAAAUCUUUAAAAGAAAAAAAAAAAAGAACAGGAGCGCCCUCCAUCCUGGUCACGCCUGCAUCCCUGUGGCCUGACAAGGCCUGACAAACAUGAUGAGCACACAGUGGCUGGAGGAUCCAGGGUGAGUGCGAAUCAGGGUUGGAAAGGAAGGAGGCCUGUGGGGUUGGAAAGGAAGCAGACUGCAGGAUAUAGGUAAAAGCAACAAGGCCCAGUUUUUCUUUUGUUUAAAGAUUUAUUUAUUUUAGAGAGCGAGAAAGAGAAUGCGAGCAGGGGGAAGGGCAGAGGGAGAGAGAGAGAGAUGCCUCAAGCAGACUCCCUGCUGAGCAUGGAGCCCAACACGGACCUCAAUUCCAGGACCCUGAGAUCAUGACCUGAGCCGAAACCAAGAGUCGAGUGCUCAACCAACUGAGCCACGCAAGCGCCCCAACAAGGCCUAGUUUAUGUUUCAGGUCUCCGGUUGCCAUGUGAAAGACACAGCCAGAGAGAGAACACAAGCAGGGGGAGAGGCAGAGGGAGAAGCAGGCUCCCCGCGGAGCAGGGAGCCCGAUGCGGGGCUCGAUCCCAGGACCCUGGGAUCAUAACCUGAGCCGAAGGCAGAUGCUCAACAACUGAGCCACCCAGGCGCCUGAUAAAUGUUUUUUGAAUAAAUGAAUAAUCCCAGGGAGUUUCAGAAAUACAGACAUGAUGAGGCAUCCCAGAGAAGGCAGCCCCUUUGACAAUGACAGUCCUCACUGUGGAGCCAGGAUGCGACUCUCGUGUGGAAAGUCCACAAGGGACCAGCCCCGUGUGAGCACUCUUCUGACCACAGCAGCUCAUGCAAAGUGAGUUUGACGGGAGCUUCAUGGUCCGAGCAUCCUGGCAGGUGUACAGGUUCCCCCAAGCUGCAGGCGACACCUGGAGACCUGAUGGGAUGGCCCAGGCCCCCCAGGGAGAUGCCCUGUGAGCUAGGUCUUCAAAGGAAAUCCGCCACACCUGAGCAAACGUGUCCAGAGAGGACUCUUGAUUUUUUUUUUCAAAGAUUUUAUUUAUUCAUUUGAGACACAGAGAUAGAGAGAGAGCAUGAGCAGGGGGAGAGGCAGAGGGAGAGGGAGAAGCAGGCUCUCUGCUGAGCCAGGAGCCCGAUAUGGGGCUCGAUCUCACAACCCUGGGAUCAUGACCUGAGCCGAAGGCAGACGCUUAACCAUCUGAGCCACCCAGGCAUCCCAGGACUCUUGAUUUUUAAAUGUUUACACCCCUCAGCAGGAAAGCUCCAGUCUGAUCCCCUGGACUUUGAGGGGCGGGGGCAGAUAUCUAUACCUGACCCUGAGAUGCAUCUUUUUUUUUUUUUUAACAUUUUUUAUUUAUUUGACAGAGAGCGCGAGAGAGCACGAGCAGGGGUUAACAGUAGAGGGAGAGGGGCGCCUGGGUGGCUCAGUUGGUUAAGCGACUGCCUUCAGCUCAGGUCAUGAUCCCGGGGUCCUGGGAUCGAGUCCUGCAUCGGGCUCCCUGCUCUGCGGGGAGCCUGCUUCUCCCUCUCCCACUCCCCCUGCUUGUGUUCCUUCUCUCGCUGUGUCUCUCUGUCAAAUAAAUAAAUAAAAUCUUUAAAAAAAAAAAAAACAAACAGUAGAGGGAGAGGGAGAAACAGGCUCCCCACCAAGCAGGGAGCCCGAUGUGGGGCUUGAUCCCAGGACCCUGAGAUCAUGACCUGAACCGAAGGCAGACACUUAACCAUCUGAGCCACCCAGGUGCCCCUGACAUGCAUCUUUUAAAAGACCUUGACUUGGGGUGCCUGGGUGGCUCAGAUGGUUAAGCAUCUGCCUUCGGUUCAGGUCAUGGUCCCAGGGUCCUGGGAUCGAGCCCCGCAUCGAGCCCCGCAUCAAGCCCCGCAUCAGGCUCCCUGCUCCACGGGAAGCCUGCUUCUCCCUCUCCCACUCCCCCUGCUUGUGUUCCCUCUCUCGCUGUGUCUCUCUCUGUCAAAUAAAUAAAAUCUUUAAAAAAAAAAGACCUUGACUUUUCCUCCCAAGGUGGCAUUUUAGGGUGCAUAAGCCUGGUGAUUUCAAGGAGAGCCUGCCUGCUGUAAGCAAAUUUGGAAUAGCAAUGCUCUAAUAACACCUCAGAGGACAGGUUGUUCUAUGGAAGUACACGUUCUGGUUAAGGGCCUUCUGUAUGCAAAGUUUUUUGUUUUAACUGUUUUGUUAAAUUUUAACAAUUGGGAAACUUUGAAAGCCGCUUCCACACCCUUCCUUGCCUUCUUGGGGAAAAACAAAAGGUACAGAAUUUUUCCUAGCGCUUUGGGGCCGUAGGAUCUGUGUGCUGCGAUGUGGGCUUGAUCCCCGGGCUACGAGCAGCACCAAUGGACUGUUGGCCCCACACUGUGGAGCCUGGACCGCUAGGCUGUCUGGAUUCCUUACUUCUAAUUUUGUUCCAGUUGUUUAUUCAUCCAAGCUGGCCCUUUUUCCUGUUCUCGGUCAGCAUGUCCACCCUGGCCUUCCUGUGGCUGUUUCUUCAUCUCUGAGGGACGGGGGGACCAGAGCACCCAGCUCAUUCCAGUUCUGUCCAGUUUUCCCUCUGGCAGUGGCUGGUGCGAGAUAGGAGUGCCGAUUUCAAUUUUUUAAGAUUUUUUAUUAUUUUUGGGCGCCUGGGUGGCUCAGUCGUUAAGCGUCUGCCUUCGGCUCAGGUCAUGAUCCUAGGGUCCUGGGAUCGAGCCCCACAUCGGGCUCCCUGCUCCACGGGAAGCCUGCUUCUCCCU